UUUACCCAGUCCUGACUUUCCUAAUGAGCUUAAAAUAGUUAUAAAAUAAAUUAAAUGAGUGAUGACAGCCCUGUUUGCUUAGAUAAAAUGGCGUCUGGUGGCCGCGCGCCAACUAUGCGCUGUAAUAUCUGACGUUUGACGCCACGACUCGUUUUGUAUCUGUGGAGUGCCCGACGCCAUUUACGGGUUAGGCUACUUUGGCGCGCUUUUAAUAUCAACUCGGAUAUGCGUCAUUAAAUACAAAGACGUUAUUCAGAGAUUAAUUGAAGGAUUUCAGUUUGUAAUACAUGUCAUAUAAGAUUUAGGACUUUUUAGUGCUUGUUUAUUGAUGUAUUAUUGAGGAAGUGUUAACAGUCCAUAUACGAAUCAUAUUCAUGCAAUUUCUGUAGUGUAUGAGAGUGACAAGUCUAUCACUGCGAUCCCCCCUCGGCGCUCAGUUAUUGACCCGGCUGGCGGGCGUGCGCGCGCACCCCGGCUCUCAGACUAAGCUAGAUCAGUCUAUCUCUAGAUCUUACAAUGCCUGCACCCUGCGACUCUUGUAAAGAUACAUGCGGCGGCGGGGCGGCCGCGUGCGGCGCUAACUGCACCUGCGGCCCGUCCUGCGCAUGCGGCGAUGGCCAGCCCUCUGGUGGCAAGCCAUGCUGCAAAGGCGGAGCCGGCGCCAAAAACUAAACGACCUUUCGACUUCACUAUCCUUUUCCCAAAUGAUGCUCUACUUUAAAAUUAUAUAAUCCUUACUAUAUCUUAGAAUAAAUAGCCGUGUAACACAUAUUAUAAUGUAGUUGAUCUUUCAAUAUAUAAAUAUAAAAAUACGAUGAAGAAUGUUGUGUCGUCAUGAAAUGAAAUUAGUUUAAGAGAUUUUAGUGAUAAAUCGAUAUUGCUUAUAGGUUAGUUUUGGUCUUUGCUUGUAUUUAAUAAGUGUAGCUAUAUUAUCACAUUCAGUGUUUAACUUUAUCUUAUUAAAGGAUUUGUCCUAGUACUUGUAAUACUCAUUAUUUUAAGCUGAGAUGUGGGCACGCACACACACGUUAUGAAUCUGUGUAGUGUAUCUGAUUUAGUAAAUAAGUAAGGCAA